rnacentral:tRNA from 1 species
GUGACUGUAGCUCAGCUGGUUAGAGCGCAGCUCUGUGGAAGCUGAUGUCGCGGGUUCGAAUCCCGUCAGUCACCCCA